ACGGGAGGCAGCAGUGAGGGAUAUUGCACAAUGGGGGAAACCCUGAUGCAGCGACGUCGCGUGAGGGAAGAAGGUUUUUGGAUUGUAAACCUCUGUCUUUGGAGAAGAUAAUGACGGUAUCCGAAGAGGAAGCUCCGGCUAACUACGUGCCAGCAGCCGCGGUAAUACGUAGGGGGCGAGCGUUGUCCGGAAUUACUGGGUAUAAAGGGAGCGUAGGCGGGUUUGUAAGUUGAAUGUGAAAUUUAUGGGCUUAACUCAUAAACUGCGUUCAAAACUGCAGAUCUUGAGUAGAGUAGAGGCAGGCGGAAUUCCUAGUGUAGCGGUGAAAUGCGUAGAUAUUAGGAGGAACACCAGUGGCGAAGGCGGCCUGCUGGGCUUCAACUGACGCUGAGGCUCGAAAGCAUGGGGAGCAAACAGGAUUAGAUACCCUGGUA
rnacentral:rRNA from 1 species